UACGAAGGGGGCUAGCGUUGCUCGGAAUUACUGGGCGUAAAGCGCGCGCAGGCGGUCUUCCAAGUCAGUGGUGAAAGCCCGGAGCUCAACUCCGGAAAUGCCAUUGAAACUGUGAGACUGGAGUACGAGAGAGGUGAGUGGAAUUCCCAGUGUAGAGGUGAAAUGCGUAGAUAUCAGGAGGAAUACCGAUGGCGAAGGCAGGUCUCUGGGCUGAAACUGACGCUCAUGCACGAAAGCGUGGGGAGCAAACAGG
rnacentral:rRNA from 1 species